rnacentral:misc_RNA from 1 species
GGAUGAAGAACGUAGCGAAAUGCGAUAAGUAAUGUGAAUUGCAGAAUUCCGUGAAUCAUCGAAUCUUUGAACGCACAUUGCGCCCUCUGGUAUUCCGGAGGGCAUGCCUGUCCGAGCGUCAUUGCAACCCCCAUCAAGCACGGCUUGUGUGUUGAGCGUUGGCCCCCCUCCUGGAAGGGGGGCCUGCUCCAAAUGCAGUGGCGGCGUCGCUUAUCAAAGGGUGACCGAGCAUAUGGGAGACUUAUUCUGGAUGCUCGCACGCUCCCGGUGAACGCUGGCCUCGAAUCUGACCCCCACCAGUUGGGGAUCGCUUCCAUUCAGGUUGACCUCGGAUCAGGUAGGGAUACCCGCUGAACUUAAGCAUAUCAAUAAGCGGAGGA